AUUGAACGCUGGCGGAAUGCUUUACACAUGCAAGUCGAACGGCAGCACGGGGCAACCUGGUGGCGAGUGGCGAACGGGUGAGUAAUACAUCGGAACGUGCCCAGUCGUGGGGGAUAACGUAGCGAAAGCUACGCUAAUACCGCAUACGAUCUACGGAUGAAAGCGGGGGAUCGCAAGACCUCGCGCGAUUGGGGCGACCGAUGGCAGAUUAGGUAGUUGGUGGGGUAAAGGCUCACCAAGCCGACGAUCUGUAGCUGGUCUGAGAGGACGACCAGCCACACUGGGACUGAGACACGGCCCAGACUCCUACGGGAGGCAGCAGUGGGGAAUUUUGGACAAUGGGCGCAAGCCUGAUCCAGCCAUUCCGCGUGCAGGAUGAAGGCCCUUGGGUUGUAAACUGCUUUUGUACGGAACGAAAAGGCUCUGGUUAAUACCUGGGGCUCAUGACGGUACCGUAAGAAUAAGCACCGGCUAACUACGUGCCAGCAGCCGCCGUAAGAC
rnacentral:rRNA from 1 species